rnacentral:sRNA from 1 species
UUAACAUAUCAGGCCAGUGCUGCAGCACC